rnacentral:rRNA from 1 species
UACGAAGGGGGCUAGCGUUGUUCGGAAUUACUGGGCGUAAAGCGCACGUAGGCGGGUUUGCAAGUCGGGGGUGAAAUCCCAGGGCUCAACCCUGGAACUGCCUUCUAAACUGCAAGCCUGGAGGUCAGGAGAGGCGAGUGGAAUUCCGAGUGUAGAGGUGAAAUUCGUAGAUAUUCGGAGGAACACCAGUGGCGAAGGCGACUCGCUGGACUGAUACUGACGCUGAGGUGCGAAAGCGUGGGGAGCAAACAGG